GAUAAACGCUGGCGGCGUGCAUAACACAUGCAAGUCGAACGAAGUGGCGAACGGGUGAGUAACACGUGAGUAACCUGCCUUACACAAGGGGAUAGCCUUUGGAAACGAAGAAUAAUACCCUAUAGUGUAAGAUGGACUUGCGUCUGAUUAGCUAGUUGGUGAGAAAAACGCCCACAAAGGCGACGAUCAGUAGCGGGCUGGAGAGAGGGUACGUCCACAUUGAGACUGGUAAACGGCCCAACCUCCUACGGGAGGCAGCAGGGGGGAAGUUUGCACUAUGGGUGAAACCCUGAUGCAGCGACGCCGCGUGAUUUAGAAGGCCUUCGGGUUGUAAAGUACUUUCAGUCGGGAGGCGUUACCGACAGAAGAAGCACCGGCUAACUCCGUGCCAGCAGCCGCGGUAAUAC
rnacentral:rRNA from 1 species